CAGCAACUCUCUCUCUGUGGAACGCAACCCUGAAUCUGAGCAGUGAGCACAGCAGCCUCCCAUUCAUUUCCGUCACCCAAAUCCCAACUCUCUCUCUCUCUCUCUCUCUCUCUCAUCUCUCUCUGCGCGCCCAAUUUCUCAAGAUUUCUGGGUUUCUGAUCUCAUCAUGUCCAGUUUCAAAGCUUCUGCAAUUUGAAUUUUGUUGCUGCGUGUUUAGUUAAUUGAACACCCAUGCCAGUUGACAAAGAGAUGGAAUUUGAAUAUGGUUGUACUGUUGUAGCAUGUUUUUGUUGUUUAUAUGAAGAACUAGAAACUGAAGGAUCCAGAUGAGUUUAUGAGAUUGGUUGAAGUUUUUGUGCUGAGUUUCCUUGCCGUGAUGGAUGAUCUGCAUAGAGUGUGGUUUCUGCUUUAAAGGGGGAAUUUGUAAUCUUCCAUGGUUUCUGCUCACUUGUCGGUCUUUUCCAUGGUUUCUGCUUUAAAGGGGGAAUUUGUAAUCUUCCAUGGUUUCUGCUCACUUGUCGGUCUUUUCCAUGGUUUCUGCUUUAAAGGGGGAAUUUCAACCUUCCAUGGUUUCUGCUCAUUUCCCAAAUUCGUCAUGUAUUGUUUAAAGGGGGAAUUAAUUUUAAGAACUACAUGUGGUUGCUUUAGUGCUUAUUCACUGUACAGAAUGCAACAUAAUAGCUUCCGUUAGCAUGGUAUAUAUUUGGUUGAUGUGGAAUUUUA